rnacentral:rRNA from 1 species
AACGAACGCUGGCGGCGUGCCUAACACAUGCAAGUCGAACGAGAAAGGGGCUUCGGCUCCGAGUAAAGUGGCGCACGGGUGAGUAACACGUGGGUAACCUGCCUCUAAGAUUGGGAUAACUCGUCGAAAGAUGAGCUAAUACCGAAUAAGACCACAGUUCCCGCGGGAACAGGGGUCAAAGGUAGCCUCUGCUUGCAAGCUAUCACUUAGAGAUGGGCCUGCGCACCAUUAGCUAGUUGGUAGGGUAACGGCCUACCAAGGCAAAGAUGGUUAGCUGGUCUGAGAGGGUGAUCAGCCACACUGGAACUGAGACACGGUCCAGACUCCUACGGGGGGCAGCAGUGGGGAAUAUUGCGCAAUGGGCGAAAGCUUGACGCAGCAACGCCGCGGGAGUGAUGAAGGCCUUCGGGUCGUAAAGCUCUGUCGGGAGGAACGAAUGCUCCUGAGGUUAACAGCCUCGGGAGGUGACGGUACCUUCAAAGGAAGCACCGGCUAACUCUGUG